rnacentral:rRNA from 1 species
GACGAACGCUGGCGGCGUGCUUAACACAUGCAAGUCGAACGGUGAAGCGCCUUCCUUUUUGGUGGGUGUGGAUGAGUGGCGAACGGGUGAGUAACACGUGAGUAACCUGCCCCCUUCUUCUGGAUAACCGCAUGAAAGUGUGGCUAAUACGGGAUAUUCUGGGUCUGUCGCAUGAUGGGUCUGGGAAAGAUAUUGUUUCGGUGGGGGAUGGGCUCGCGGCCUAUCAGCUUGUUGGUGGGGUGAUGGCCUACCAAGGCGGUGACGGGUAGCCGGCCUGAGAGGGUGGACGGUCACACUGGGGCUGAGCCCCCGCCCAGCCUCCUACGGGAGGCAGCAGUGGGGCUUAUUGCACAAUGGGCGCCAGCCUGAUGCAGCGACGCCGCGUGAGGGAUGGAGGCCUUCGGGUUGUGAACCUCUUUCGCCAGUGAAGCAGGCCUGCCUCGUUUGUGGGUGGGUUGACGGUAGCUGGAUAAGAAGCGCCGGCUAACUACGUG